GGCCGCGGGCGCAGGGGCGCGCUGGGAUGUGCUCUUGCCCAGCCCCAGCAGAGCCCUGCAGCCUGCCCCGCGGAAAGCGCAACUGCUGGCAAAAUCAGCAGCGGAUUAUGGGUGAUAAACGCAUAAUGGCCUUGAUAAUCCCCCCGAUUUUCAGCUCCCCUUCGGUGGAGGCAGGCCUGUUGGCAAAAGGGACGGGAUGGCGUUCGGGGAGCGACUCCCCCCGCCGGCCUGCGGGGAACAGAUUUAGGGGAGAAGCUGUUAGAGGACCCUUUGCUUUGCCUAACGGGGGGAGACUGCGGCGGAGGAUGCCCGAGGGGGGCCUGGCUGGGAGAGGGGUGACUGCGGGGGGCGGAACGCUCCCUGAGGUUAAUUCCAGCAAGCCAGGGUUAAAUCACAGGGCUGGAGAUUUUUGAAGGUGGGGGUGGAUGCGAGGAGGAGCGCUUUUGAAGGGAGGAGUAGGGAUGCGUAGUAGUUUUGGGGCUGUGAAGAAGGAAUCGACUACAGAGGGGGAGAUGCUGAGGAGGCCUGGGGAAAAGUGAAGUGGGUACUUAGUAAAGAACUUAGCUAAGAUCUACUUUAGGUAGUUUCUGUCGUUAACAGCGGUCGGAGCAAACAGCCGUGUGUUAAGGUUUCCCUAAACCGAAUAUUUGGAAUAGUCCUCAAAUUGCUGGUUAUGUUCCCCUCGCCAUUGUAGAUAACGAUCAGUGCAACUUCAACCCGAGUGUGCCAGCGGCUGAGGACAGCUAAUUGAGGGCUCUUCCGCUGGGCUUUCCUGUAACAGAUAAGCUGACUGUUUCGGUGCGAUCACAAAAUCUCCAGUUCCCGCUGCUGACUGUGAUGGAAUGCUGUAGCUCAGGAUGGGAUACAGCUGACUGGGACCUGUAGUCGCUGGAGUCAUUAGCACCACAGUCAAGGACGCGCUAACAAGAACCACUGCAAAACUCUUUCAUCGCUGCAUUGUAAACCGUGACCGAAUUAUUGAGAAGAAUCGUAUUCCACUGUUUGCAACAAGAAAUUUCUACUGGCAUGAUGAAGCAUAUUUAAAAUGAUGUGCUGUUCCACAGGACGUUUUUAGAGUAUUAUUUUUAGAGGAUUUUUUUUCUGCUUCCUGUUACAGCUUUUAAGAAGUCUUUAGAUGGGUGGUAUUUGCCAAGAGUAUUUCUAAAAAGAUUACAUAUCUAAAUAAGUAGAUAUUUACCACCUAUGCACACUUGGUUAUUGCAGGCAGGAGAAUGAUUUUGUCCAAUGUAUUCAUUGAAAGUGUCAAUUUAGAAAAUUCCACACUUUGUCCAAUGGAGCUGUUCCCAAUGACAUCAUUCCCCAUAAAAAGAGAAUAUGGGACUGCAGUUGCUACUGGGAUCACAUGGCAUUUCAACUGAGUUUUGGAAUCAGUUUCCAUCAUAAUGGCCAUAUUCUGCAUGAGUCUGCUGUAAUCUCUGUGUGUUGGUAUUGCCCAAUUCUCCUUUUAACUCUUUCAGUUUUAAUACCAGUUGGUUAAACUUCUUUUAUUAUAAGGUAUAGCAUGAAGUAUUGGAAUUUUGUCUGUAUAUUCUUUAAAGAGAGGACAAGUAUUAACUGUUGUGUCGCAUGGUUUAGGUUUCUUGAUGCCUAAGUGAAAAAGAUGUACUUCUUUCAGUGUCUCACAUGCAGUUUAUUCAAAAGGUGAGGAAAAGCAGAGCCUUUUGGUUUCAGCUUCCCUUACUUAUCAUCCCCAUUUAUCUUCUUGUCUUACCACAAAUAUUUGACGUAGAUGGGAAAUAAUGUAUCUGAAGUUACUCUGCAGCCAAAAAGGCUGGUAGACCAUGGGGUUUUGUUUUGUUUGGACUAGGAUUUAUAUCACCUAAUAACACUCAUCUAAAUAUUAGACGUAUAAUCAAGCUGUUGUCCAGGCUGUCUUGAUACAGCGGAGAGAGGCAGGCACCUUUAGAUGAUCAUUACUCCCAUGCUUACUCGGGUGGCUAAAGCAGGUUGGGUGAGUUGCCUUCUGAGGGUGACUUUUUCUCUCCUGUAGUUUCUGCAAGUACAGAAGAAGCCGAGAUGACCACCCUUAAUUUUUAGAUGGCUAAAAUUAAUUAAUUACCUGUGGUGCUUAGAGGUUAUCUAAUAGAAAUCUUCAUAUUAAUGAUACCUGUGGCCUGUAAUAGUGUGAUCUUGAGCUUACCAGAACUUUAUAUGUGGCUUUGUGAAGUACUGAUGCCCUGCCCCAUCUCCUCCAGUGGGCCCUACCUAUUUUUGGAAUCUAAAAGCCAGCUGGAUGACUAUGCUGCUGGCUUUACGUCUUCUUGGUGCUAUUCCUGCAACACCCUGGUGUGAUGACAUCUAUUCAUGACGGUACGAUGUGAAAGGUCUCAUUGGGACCAUCUGCAUUGCUCUUCAACACAGAAUCCAUGAAUCAGCUUAAAGCAGCGUUAGUAGAAAAGGUAAGUUGAUUUGAAGUGCUCCAAAGACUGGGUUGAAUUCACAUGUGACGGGACUCCAGCACAGAUACCUUUCUAUGGUUCUUUCCAACCCGAAGGGGAUACACUUUAUUGAACCUCCCUCUGUCAGUGGUGAGUGCUUACAAAGUCUUUGUGUUCAAAAUUGCUGAAACUUUAAUUUUCUUGACGAGAUCUUCUUUUACUAUUAGACAAGCUGUAAAGUAAAGAACAACCAGAAUAUUUAGAUAUCAGCUAGGUUUUAGCCUAUUCCGUUCAUUAGAUGGUUCUUCUGUUUUCAAAAUGUGAGGGUAUAUGUAAGUUGCUGUUUUCAUUUGCUAUUAGUAGUCCGUGCAUGAAGGCCUGUAUCCUCACUGAAGUCAAUGACAAAGCUUCCAUUGACCUCAGCGUUGCAGGAUCAAACCCUUAGUCAUUAGCAUGUUGUAAAAACGGCUGUUAUCCCAGCCAAUUUUAAUGGGCCUGCCUACAACUGGCAGUUGUUUAACCUAAAAAUUAGCUUAGCAAUCACAGCUAAAAUUACAUGUCAGACUGUUAGUGCGUAAGAAUACUUCAUAGUGAGUCAUCAAGAGUCUUACGAUGCACUUAGAGUUCUAUAAUUAUUAACAUUCAAGCAAGAGAUCCUGAAAUUUGAUAAAGACUGGAAUUUCCAGAUGCGAAGGAGAUUAGUUCAGAUGAGAGGAUAAGAUUUACAUUCUGUAAACUCAAUUUUUUGUGUUACUAGUCCUUUUCUUCUUUAAAUAGUCAGAUCUAGGUACAAUCAAAACACAACUUACUUUUUGCUGCAUUUAUUCAUAUAAACCUGUUCAAUCAGCUGUCUCUCUUAACAACCUCAUUAGCUGGGACACAGCUGAGGAGAUAAUUUUUUGUGUGUCAAUUAAACAGUUAAAUUAAACUAAAAGCAACAUGUCAGAAUCAAAUAGCCAAGGUGUGGAGAUAUUUGAAAUCUGAACCUUGCUUAGUAUAUUGCAAAAUAGGUUUUACACAGUACCAAGUAUUCUGGAGAGACCAGGAUUUAAAGGAUAAUCCUGUUCUGGAGCUGGAUUUUGCCACUUUGCCUGUUUUAGUUGACAACAUAAAUGAAAUUUAAAUUUAGUUUCGUUACGUAGGUGCUGAUGUGGUAUGACUGUAAGAAGUAAAGCCAUUGCUUCAUGUUGGCUGGCAAAAAUGGAUAUGAGAUCACAAGCUAUAUAUGAUGGUUUUCUUAGGAAAGCAAAAUAAGUAGUAAUUUGGAUUUUUCGCAUUACUUUGGAGAUGGUGCAGAACAAAAUAUCAGCAAAGCAAUAAGGGCCAUUAUGAAAAGAAACUGUUUGUUGUGCAGUUCAAGCUCAGAGUUUCAGGAGGAGGAACCUAUCAGGGAAGGAAAAUCUCACACUCCAGGUCACGUUAGAUCUUUUGUAGAAUGUUUAAGUGCAAGUAACGUGAUGCCACUUCACAUCAGAGUAUUACUCAAAACAGGGAUGAUACUUGGACAUAAUCUGCAUCUCCGCCCUAAACCAGAAAGAUAUCCUUCCUUCUCAAGAAAUUUCAGUUAAUCCAGUGGAUUAGGAGUUCAACUACUUCUUGAGAGAUUUGGGAAUAUGAUUUCUUUUAAGGAUUUGAAAUAUGUUUGUUUUCUUGCUUGUUUUCAUUCAUUGUACUAUAUCACUCAUGUAUUUAUUAGGAUAAA